CGGGAUGUGGCCUAGUGGUUUAGGGCGCCGGCAUGGGGUGCCGGAAACAUUUCGUGGGUUCGAAUCCCGCCAUCCCGACCA
rnacentral:tRNA from 1 species